UUAGGACGACAGGCAGAAAUUGGAGUGAUGCAGCUAUAAGCCAAGGAAGCCAGGAGACAAGCAAGGAAGGAUUCUUCCCUAGAGCCUUCAGAGGAAUGGGCCUGCCGACAACCUUGAUUUUGGACUUCUUGCCUCCAGAACCGUUAAUAUUGGAUGUCAAUAGAGAAACUAAGAAGUUAAGUUCUGGAUUCAUCUCUACCUACAGCAUGUGAUGGUAAACACCUUGUGAUAAAGUUCUACAAAGCUGAUGCAAAGAAUCUCAGAAUCAUUAGAUCUGAGCUAACAGUAGUUGAGUUGUUAGUAAACUCUAAACAGAAUCAGAUGAAGAAUGUGUUGAGAGGUUGGUACCCUGGAUAGGGAGUGAAGAGAUCCAAGAAGUAGUCCUGGCUGAUGACCAUGUGACUGGGCACUUGCUAUGGAACAUACCGGACAUCCAGUGACUGCUGCCAGGUCCACAGCCAACUCACAGGACUUGAUCAAAUCCUCCAUCAUGGCCAAAGCUUGUCGUAGGUCGUCUGAGAAGGCUGAAUCCUUGGUCCUCUCUGGCCCAUUCUGCGGAAAGCAAAUGCCUUGCUGGAAAUCAAAAGGUAAACCAUCUACCAAGGGAAGGAGGGAAACAGGACAGAGAUAAGGAGCCACGGAUCCAGCCAGUAUGAAGUGACU